UUCUAGAAAUGCUUUGCAACAUUUGACUUUUUGUUGUUUGCUAGUUUCUCAUUGCAUAUUAAGCAUACUGGUAAACCAGUCUCAUCAACAGUGAAAGCAAAUGAAUCUGUCCACGUAUCAUUAAACGUACUGUUUUCUUCAGUCACUUUUCUUUUUUUAGAAUUCUCCAUAGUUGGCCUACCUUGGAUCGAAAAAUUAAAGAAAUCGCGCACUGACGGGUGUCAGGUACUUGAAUGCCAUGUGUCAUCACGCCACAUCAUAUGUGCACACCUCGCUUAAAGUAAAAAUGAAACUAAGACGUGGAUUCGCAGCCGUGUGUUUAUGCUUUGGAUCUACAAAACAUUACAAUAUUGAUGAGUUUGUUUUAAAUGAACCUGAGAUGACUACCAACUUGUUGAAGCACUGUGAGACAUUUGAAUUUUUAAAAACACACACCAGAGUAUGUGUCUCUUCAGAAGAGGCAAAGAGAAAUGGUUGAGUUUAAAAAAGAAGAAAGCAGAAAACUGACAAUUUCUGGGGUUCAGAUACAGUGAGUACUGCGCAAUAAUCGUACAUUUAAAAAUAAAAGCAGAAAUGGCUGGCUACAUCUGAAAGAUAGACGUAUUGGAUUCCACAAGAGAUAACUGGAUAUUGUAUACUGAGCAAAUUGUGCUGUAAUUUGAAGCAAAUAAAAGAGCCAACAAGAAGUGAGUAAUACACACAAAAUGAUGGAGGAGCCCAACAGGCCAGGUGGUAUCUAUGGAAAAGAGUAAACCAUCGAUGUUUCGGGGUGAGACCCCUUCAUCAGGACUCCUGUUUGUGAUUAGAUGAGAAGUGAGUGCCAGUUUUGCUGAGUGCACUGGAUUUAAAGGCAUACAGUAUGCUUUGAACUUCGAAGUUGGGCAAUCAAUGACAGCAAGUGCAUAAAAAGAGCUCCCUUUCAAUCUGCGACCAAGAUUUAAAAGGCAGAGUUUCGCAGCAGUUUCUGUGAGCUGGGUGAUCAACGAGAGGGAACGUAUAAGAAGAGCAGUACCACAAUCAAGAUUUAAAAGGCAGAGCUUCACGGCGCUUUCUAAACUAAUAAAGAUAUUGAAAGAGGGAACGGCUAAUAAAAAUAACGCAAGAGCAAGCAGAGCGGCCAUUCUUUUGAGUGGGCCAGUUUUAGAGUGGCUUUGGCUCAUUAGGAUUGGGCAAGAAGGGGACGCCACUAACAGCAGCAGCACGAAUGCAGAGAUGGGCUCUGUUUUUUGGAGGACACUAUUACAAGAUCGAAUGCAAGAGGACAACUAAUCAUGGGUAUGCUGCUGGAGCAUCUUGGAGAAAGGAGAAGUAAGGUGGCCCAAGCUUCUGAAACCACUCCCUACAGUUCCUGAGUCCACUCCUACAACCACAACAGAGGAGGCCCCAAAACCUGAGAUUGUUUCACAGCCACGUCUCACCUGCCAAGCAGAGAGACACCCCCUACCCUGUCAGGAGAGACACUAUCCC